rnacentral:rRNA from 1 species
AUUGAACGCUGGCGGCAGGCCUUACACAUGCAAGUCGAACGAGUGGCGGACGGGUGAGUAAUGUAUGGGAACCUGCCCGAUAGCGGGGGAUAACUACUGGAAACGGUGGCUAAUACCGCAUACUAUUGGAUGGACCCAUAUGGGAUUAGCUAGUGGGUGGGGUAAAGGCUCACCUAGGCGACGAUCCCUAGCUGGUAGGAGAGGAUGACCAGCCACACUGGGACUGAGACACGGCCCAGACGCCUACGGGAGGCAGCAGUGGGGAAUAUUGGACAAUGGGCGCAAGCCUGAUGCAGCCAUGCCGCGUGUAUGAAGAAGGCCUUAGGGUUGUAAAGUACUUUCAGCGGGGAAGCGUUACCCGCAGAAGAAGCACCGGCUAACUCCGUGCCAGCAGCCGCGGUAAUUC